rnacentral:rRNA from 1 species
AUAAAUUUUUGUAUUUAAUUUAAUUUAUUUAAAAAAUAAAAUUAUUAAAUUGAAUGUAGUAAUUAAUAUUAAUAAAUUUAAGAAAUUAAGAUUUAGUAAUAUUUAAAUUAAUAACAAAUUUUGUGCCAGCAGUUGCGGUUAAACAAAAAUUAAAUUAAAAUUUAUUAGUUAUUAAUUAAUAUAAGAUAAUAUAAUUAAUUAAAUUUUAAAUUAUUAAGUGAAAUUUUAAUUUAAUUAAAAUUAAUUUAUAAAUUAUAAUUUAAUAAAUUUUGGUAUUAAACUAGGAUUAGAUACCCUAUUAUAAAAAAAUUAAAUAUAAAUACUAAAAUAGUAAUUAAUUAUUUAUUGAAACUUAAAUAAUUUGGCGGUAUUUUAGUUCAUUUAGAGGAAUCUGUUUAAUAAUUGAUAAUCCACGAAUAAAUUUACUUAAUUUAUUAUUUUGUAUAUCGUUGUUAAAAAAAUAUUUUUAAAUAAUAAUAAUAUUUAAAAUUAAAAAAAAAAAUUAAAUCAGAUCAAGAUGCAGAUUAUAAUUAAGAAUAUAAUGGAUUACAAUAAAUUUAUUUAUUAACUAAUAUUAUCUUGUAAAAGUUAAUUGAGGGUGGAUUUAAAUGUAAUUUUAUUUAAUUUAUUAAAAUGAUUAAAAAUUAAAAUAUGUACAUAUUGCCCGUCGCUUUCAUUAAUAAAUUGGAAUAAGUCGUAACAAAGUAGAGGUACUGGAAAGUGUUUCUAGAAAUAA